rnacentral:rRNA from 1 species
AACGCUAGCGGCAGGCUUAACACAUGCAAGUCGAGGGGUAACAGAAUAGCUUGCUAUUGCUGACGACCGGCGCACGGGUGCGUAACGCGUAUACAAUCUACCUUACACAGGAGAAUAGCCCUAAGAAAUUGGGAUUAAUGCUCCAUAGCAAUAUUAAAUCGCAUGAUUUAAUAUUUAAAGCUUCGGUGGUGUAAGAUGAGUAUGCGUCCUAUUAGUUAGUUGGUAAGGUAACGGCUUACCAAGACAGCGAUAGGUAGGGGGCCUGAGAGGGUUAUCCCCCACACUGGUACUGAGACACGGACCAGACUCCUACGGGAGGCAGCAGUGAGGAAUAUUGGUCAAUGGAGGCAACUCUGAACCAGCCAUGCCGCGUGAAGGAAGAAUGUCCUACGGAUUGUAAACUUCUUUUAUUUGGGAAGAAACCUCUGGUCGAGAACCAGGGCUGACGGUACCAAAAGAAUAAGGACCGGCUAACUCCGUGCCAGCAGCCGCGGUAAUACGGAGGGUCCAAGCGUUAUCCGGAAUCAUUGGGUUUAAAGGGUUCGCAGGCUGUUUAAUAAGUCAGUGGUGAAAUCUCGAGGCUCAACCUCGAAACUGCCAUUGAUACUGUUAGACUUGAAUACAGUUGGAGUAGGCGGAAUGUGUAGUGUAGCGGUGAAAUGCUUAGAUAUUACACAGAACACCGAUAGCGAAGGCAGCUUACUAAACUGUGAUUGACGCUCAUGAACGAAAGCGUGGGGAGCGAACAGGAUUAGAUACCCU